rnacentral:lncRNA from 1 species
UGGGUGAUCACACUCCAGUGUGGGCUCAGGGGCUGGGUGCCAGGGCUCGCCUCCCACCCAGAGUCCUCACUGGGCCGGGUGGGGUCGUCGCAAGGGCCGGUUCCGGUCGCAGACGCGUGGGAGGUGGCCUGAUGUCAAGGGCCCGUGCCCCAGGCAAACUCGGGCUCUCGGUCGCUCCCACGGGUCCUCCCACCGCACCACGCAGAGUGCUGGGUGCGCGUGCUUGUGAGUGCCUGUUCACGUGUUUGUGCGCAUCUGCGUGCCUCUGCGCGCGUGUGUGCAGGCGUCUGCGCACCAGUGCCUGGGUACGUCUUCAGGUGCUGGUGUGUGAGUUCGUCCAAGUGUCUGUGCAGAUGCUGGGAGAGAGGACCAGACAGCGCUAAGCGGCGCGCGCCGGCGUGAUGGCGCUCAGUCUCUGGAGGUGCCACCUUGGGGCUUCAUCGUGAGGCUCGCUGAAGAACUCCAGCGGCUGGGAGGCCCGCGGCCCAAGCCUCUCCCGCUCCAUCCUUCCACCCAAUGUUGGAAAAAGCCCUGUGCGCCUCUGCGCGUGUGCAGGGAACUACUGUAGCCCCCCACUUGAGCAGAGGGGGCAGAGGAGAGAGAGAAGAAUUUAAAAACCAAAUGUUUAACAUUUUUAUCGUUGUCAUUUGAACUUCUUUGGACCUAAAAACAGGUUUCCUUUGGAACACUAGUUUACAACUUACUGCUUAUUGAUUGAUUGGUUGGUUUAUGUACUGGCGAAGCCACUAUUUAAUAAAAAAGGAAAUACAGUAAGAUUGAAAGAUGGAAAGCGGACAUUGGAAAAAUACGCAGGAGGCGGAAUUCUGUCCCCACUCCUAUUCUUGCAAAAAACAAACCAAAAAACUCAGGAGAAUUUCUUCCCAUCUCCAACUCUCAGCUCCAUGGUCCCUAUCAGCUGAGAGCCACUUGACAAUUAUCUAGUUAAGCAGGAUCCCUCCUUCUGCUGGACUUCCCAAAUAAAAGUAACCACCUAAGAAAAGGCUUAUAUCCUCAUAUGGAUUUUCAUAUUUCUGCCCUAGAAUAAAAUAAGGUCCACCCAACAGUGCCUGGAAUGUCUCCACCAGAGGUGUUUAUUUCACAAAAGGAGAAGGGUUCCCACCACUAGAGCCCCUCCUCCAGCCUCCUGGGAGAUGAUUCCAUGGCUAGACACUGACUUCUGCGCCCCCAACCCUGGCAAAUUUCAAUCAAAGUCCAGGCAGAAAGUAGAGGAAUCUGUAUGCCACUUGCCCAUCUGACAACUCAAGGCCAGGAUUCUAGUCCCAACUACCUCUGACCAUUGGAAAAUUCCUUCCUGUAGCCAGGCUGAAAUUGGCUCCCUGAACAUCUCCUGACGUCCUGGAGCUGCUCCAGAGGUCAGGCUAAAGUAAAGCCCCCGGCUUCUGCUAGCACAGACACUGACUGGGAACAAUGUAAGUAAAACAGAAAGGCAGACAGGAUUAUUUACAGAUGCUUCUCCAUGGAUAAGAGCUAAUUAGAAGAUAAAGUGGUAAAGACAUACUUAGGAGGAUGGAGGGAGGCCAC